rnacentral:rRNA from 1 species
CCGCGUGAGCGAUGAAGGCCUUCGGGUUGUAAAGCUCUGUGGGGAGGGAAGAAUAAGGGCGAGCUAACACCUCGCUCGAUGACGGUACCUCCUUAGCAAGCACCGGCUAACUCUGUGACAGCAGCCGCGGUAAGACAGAGGGUGCAAACGUUGUUCGGAAUUACUGGGCGUAAAGCGCUUGUAGGCGGCUAUGUAAGUCGGGCGUGAAAUCCCACGGCUCAACCGUGGAAGUGCACCCGAAACUGCGUAGCUAGAGUCCUGGAGAGGAAGGUGGAAUGCUUGGUGUAGAGGUGAAAUUCGUAGAUAUCAAGCGGAACACCGGUGGCGAAGGCGGCCUUCUGGACAGUGACUGACGCUGAGACGCGAAAGCGUGGGGAGCAAACAGGAUUAGAUACCCUGGUAGUCCACGCCGUAAACGAUGAGUGCUAGGUGUCACGGGCUUUGACCCUCGUGGUGCCGAAGCUAACGCGUUAAGCACUCCGCCUGGGGAGUACGGCCGCAAGGCUA